UACGAAGGGGGCUAGCGUUGCUCGGAAUCACUGGGCGUAAAGCGCACGUAGGCGGCUUUUUAAGUCAGGGGUGAAAUCCUGGAGCUCAACUCCAGAACUGCCUUUGAUACUGAGAAGCUUGAGUCCGGGAGAGGUGAGUGGAACUGCGAGUGUAGAGGUGAAAUUCGUAGAUAUUCGCAAGAACACCAGUGGCGAAGGCGGUUGCCUGGAGCUUUGCUGACGCUGAGGCGCGAAAGCGUGGGGAGCGAACAGG
rnacentral:rRNA from 1 species